rnacentral:lncRNA from 1 species
CUUGUUCUCCUUCUUGUUUUUCCUUUGCGAUCACUUAGAGCUUUUUGGGUUUUGGCUCGAUGGAGAGCGUAAGUUCUCAGAGCUUUUUGGUUCAGGUUUGGUCUUUGGCUUGGAUUGGUUUGGUUGGGUUGGAAGCGUGGCCGUCAGCGGAGAGUGUAAAUUCUCCCUGGCAGUGGUGACAGACGUGUCCUAAUCCACAGGCUACUCCUCUUAAGGGACGCCUUAGAGGAUUCGGGGGGGGGGGGGCGAAAGUGCCCCCAGUUGGUAGAGGGACAAGAGUGCCCUCGUUUGUACUCUGCUGCCAACCCGUUUGGUUUCACUGGCAAUUCUUUCUCUCAGAUUGGAUUCACAGUCUGUCUUUAAUCUUUGCCUCUAAACUUGUGUUAACCGUUUACUGUUUGUCCUUGUCUCUGUGUUACGUUUGUAUUGUCCCUGUCUCUGCCUGAGUAACUCCCAGUAUGGGACAAAGCCAUUCCACACCUCUGUCCCUGAAGCCUUUCUUGGUCCCUGCCUCCACUCCGACCCCUUCCCCCAAGAUCCUAUCACUCAAUCCUUCUGCUCCUCUCCCUUUUCCCUCCAUUCUCCUUGAGUCACAAGAUUGUAGAUCUUGGGGUUGUGAAAGAAC